rnacentral:rRNA from 1 species
AUUGAACGCUGGCGGCAGGCCUAACACAUGCAAGUCGAACGGAGUGGCGGACGGGUGAGUAAUGUCUGGGAAACUGCCUGAUGGAGGGGGAUAACUACUGGAAACGGUCGCUAAUACCGCAUACUAUCAGAUGAGCCUAGGUCGGAUUAGCUAGUUGGUGGGGUAAAGGCCUACCAAGGCUACGAUCCGUAACUGGUCUGAGAGGAUGAUCAGUCACAUUGGAACUGAGACACGGGCCAGACUCCUACGGGAGGCAGCAGUGGGGAAUAUUGGACAAUGGGCGAAAGCCUGAUCCAGCCAUGCCGCGUGUGGGAAGAAGGUCUUCGGAUUGUAAAGCACUUUAAGUUGGGAGGCGUUACCAACAGAAUAAGCACCGGCUAACUUCGUGCCAGCAGCCGCGGUAAUUC